rnacentral:rRNA from 1 species
GAUGAACGCUGGCGGCGUGCCUAAUACAUGCCAGUCGAGCGAACAGACGAGGAGCUUGCUCCUCUGACGUUAGCGGCGGACGGGUGAGUAACACGUGGAUAACCUACCUAUAAGACUGGGAUACUUCGGGAAACCGGAGCUAAUACCGGAUAAUAUAUUGAACCGCAUGGUUCAAUAGUGAAAGACGGUUUUGCUGUCACUUAUAGAUGGAUCCGCGCCGCAUUAGCUAGUUGGUAAGGUAACGGCUUACCAAGGCGACGAUGCGUAGCCGACCUGAGAGGGUGAUCGGCCACACUGGAACUGAGACACGGUCCAGACUCCUACGGGAGGCAGCAGUAGGGAAUCUUCCGCAAUGGGCGAAAGCCUGACGGAGCAACGCCGCGUGAGUGAUGAAGGUCUUCGGAUCGUAAAACUCUGUUAUUAGGGAAGAACAAAUGUGUAAGUAACUAUGCACGUCUUGACGGUACCUAAUCAGAAAGCCACGGCUAACUACGUG